AACGAACGCUGGCGGCAUGCCUAACACAUGCAAGUCGAACGAAGGCUUCGGCCUUAGUGGCGCACGGGUGCGUAACGCGUGGGAAUCUGCCCUUUGGUUCGGAAUAACAGCUGGAAACGGCUGCUAAUACCGGAUGAUGACGAAAGUCCAAAGAUUUAUCGCCAGAGGAUGAGCCCGCGUUGGAUUAGGUAGUUGGUGGGGUAAAGGCCUACCAAGCCGACGAUCCAUAGCUGGUCUGAGAGGAUGAUCAGCCACACUGGGACUGAGACACGGCCCAGACUCCUACGGGAAGCAGCAGUGGGGAAUAUUGGACAAUGGGUGCAAGCCUGAUCCAGCAAUGCCGCGUGAGUGAUGAAGGCCCUAGGGUUGUAAAGCUCUUUUACCCGGGAAGAUAAUGACUGUACCGGGAGAAUAAGCCCCGGCUAACUCCGUG
rnacentral:rRNA from 1 species